rnacentral:lncRNA from 1 species
AAAAAAAAAAAAAAAAAAAAAAAAAAGACCCCCCCCCCCAAAAAGUACAUUUAAAACCAGAAUUUCUGUGUUAUUGUCAAGAAUGAAUGGGUAUAGUUUGGGCAACAUUUUUUAUUGGGUGUUUGUGAAUAAUAGCCCAAAAUGAUCCACCCAGCAUAACUGAUGUGUUUCUAAUAUAUUUAUUCCUAUUUAUUAAGAGGAAGUAAGAGUAAAUUAGACAACUGUGCUAUUUUGUUUUAUAUUCAAAUGACAUAAAUGUGUCAGUAUAUUGCUAUGAUGCAACUACAUAAUAAAUAUUUGAGUUAUUCACUAUUGGAUAGUACAGAUUAAAGUGUUAGGUAACUUAUCUUGAGAUAAACUCAUAGGCUUACAGUAUUAGAAAGGUUUCAUUUGUUCUGUCACUGACCUUCAAAUGAUAGUUUUAACCAGGCUGAUAAUUUCCUAUUUUCUUACUUGUAAAAUAGUAUAUAUGUCUUUCCAGAAAGAGAAAUUUAAAAAUUUUUCUUGGUAUUUAUCGCUAGUGUUUCCUUGACCUAACAAAUAAUGCUUCCUUGUAAAAGCCACAUAAAACUGUCUGUUUUGACAAACACCUUUUUUUAAAAAUUUAGACAUGAAGAAUCCCUGCUCAGCAUCUUUCCUCUGAAAAUAAGUCUUACAGUUGAAUACUAAGCAAGUCACACCUUAGCCUUUUAGGACUAAUGACAGUUACUUAACUUUCCUCAAGGACUUGAAUUCUUUGACUUUUUUUUUGUUCUUUCACCUCCCAUCAGUUUUUCCAUAUCCUUUAAAAAUGUGACCCAAAGAGUUCCCUGGUGGCUCAGUGGGUAAAGAAUAUGGCAUUGUCACUACUGUGGUUUAGGUUGCUGCCAUAGUAUGGGUUUGAUCCCUGACCUAGGCAGUUGUGCAUACCAUGGGUGUGGCAAAAAAUGUGAUCCAAAACUGGAAGUAAUUGUUAAACAAAAGUAUAAUUAAUACAUGACAAGAGGAAAAACUGUCCCUUGCUAAUUUUAAGAUUAUUUAGGAAAUCAUCAAAGUUAUGUUUCCUUCCUCCUGCAUUAUUGACUAUUUGUACUUUGUUGGUAAACCUUAAAGUUAUUCCUUCUUUCCUUUUGCCUACAUGCCAUUGUAUCAUCUUGUAUUGCUCCAAACAUUUCUGAGCAUUUACUUCUUAUAAACAUCUUUUUUUUUUUUUUGGCUGCACACACAGCAUGUGGAAGUUCCCAGACCGGGGAUCCAGCCUAUACCAUAGCAACAACCCAAGUCACUGCAGUGACAAUGUUGGAUCCUUAACCCAUUGCGCCACAAGAGAAUUCCCCGAGCAUCAUUUUUUAUAUGAUCAUUAUCUUAAGUUGAAUUUUAUUUUUUCAGGAUACUAACCACCUCACUUAAUUUAAUAUCAUUUGAAAAUUAAUGCAAUAUAGUUUUGACUUUUUAUAAUAAAGAGAAAAUAUGUUGAUUAUUAUGGGUCCCCAAAAUAAUCCCUCAGCUCUCUCUUGAUAAGGUCUUGAAACAACUUGCUCAUUAUUCUAAUAGUAUAACUGAGAAGAUAUUUUCUUAUUAUUAAUGAGAUGAGCAUAUGUUAUGAGAUUAAAAGUCUAUUUAUUCAUUUGGAAAAGAUGGUAAAGAAUAGUGAGAAAAAUCUUGUAAAAGAAAGAGUGAUGCUCUAGUAUACUGUGAGAAAGAAGAUAUACAUUUUUUGAAUUACAGAAUACCAGGUGCAAUGUGUUUGACACUUAUCAUCUAUAUCAUUGAAUCUUCACAACAGUCACAUUUUAACAAUGAGGAACCAGAGAUUUAAAAAUAUAACUAGCCGAUGCAGUAGAUAGUAUCAUCUGUUUACAAGUCUUCAUUGUCCCCAAGUCCUUGACCUAUGAAGGCAAUAUACUUUCUUUUUCAAUUCACUUAGGUUUGGCCAUGUGAUUUUUCUCAGACCAAUCGAGUAUGGAUGGAAAAGAGAAUGUGCUGAGUUGAGAGACUUAAGAAGCAUGGCCAAGUUUUCAGCAGCCCGCUUGAACUCCGGCCACUUAUCAUGAGAAGAGUAAGUUCUAGGGGUCUGUUGUUACUUCAGCCUGAAAAGAGAGACGUGAUACAGUGAUAAACCUGACCUGGAGCCAGGAGCAAAGUCCAUUUGUGUCCAGCAGAAUACUGCAAUGUCACAGUUGGCCCAAAUGCCCAUGAGAGAGGAAUAAAUGUUUGUUGCUGUAAGCCAUUGAGAUUUGGGGGAGUGUUUGUUACAUAGCACUAUUGCAGCAAAACCUGAAUAGUCUCAGAAUCUCAUUAAUACAGGUCACACUAACACAGAUGAAUAAAACAAAAGAUAGAACAUGGACCUAGAUUACAGUAUAUCUAAGAACUUAAUGGAGAAAAUACAGGUUGCUCAAAAAUGAUGUGUAGACAUUAAUGCUAGUUAAUUUGGGGAAAAAAAUACAGUUAGAUCUCUACUUAUAUCUUAAACAAACUCUAUAUAAGUUAAAGAUGCAAGAGCAAAAUAUGGAAACAAAUAUAUUUAGAAUAAAACACAGGAGAAUCUUUUCUUAUUAAUGUCUUAGAGAAUAUCUCUCUAAUAAUAAUACUGAAGACAUUGAAUUCAGUAAUAUAUUAUAAAUUUGAUUAUAUAAAAACUUUGUAUGGCUAUAAUGACACAAAUGAAGUAAAAAGACUAAAGACACUGAAAGAAAUACAUAUCACAAACAAAGAAUUAAUAUCUUUAGUCUUUAAGGAACGAGUUAAAAGUCAAAAACAAUAAGAUAUAUAUUCCAGAAGAAAAAGAGGAAUAGUAUAGUAUGGUUAAUUCACAAAUAUAGAAAGAAAAAUAGACCAUAACAUAUGAAAACAUGAUAAACCUCAUUACUAAUCAAAUUCUGGAAAUUAAAAGAAUAAUGAGGAAUUCUUUUAUGGUGGAGUGGGUUAAGGAUCUGAUAUUACUGCAGUGGCUUGGGUGGGUGCAUGGUAAAAGUACCCUGGCCUGGGCACAGCCAAAAACAAACGAACAAAAACAAAAACAAAACAAAAACAAUGAAAUAGCAUGAAGGCUUGAGAAUAAAAUCACUAUGGAUUUUUGGAGGAGAAUUAGGCAACAUGUAUCAAAAGUCUUAAAAUUAUGCAUACUCAUUGAUCUAGCAUUUCUAGAUGUAAUGUCUCAAAUGUAAAAUACUGAAAACUAUUGCUCAAUGGAGGAUUGAUCAAAUUAUGGAACAUCGUGAAAUAAAAUAUGCAUUUCAAUUGUAGCCACUAAAAAUUAUGACGAUUUGCAUUUAUGGUCCUUAAAAGACAGCAGUAAUUAUACUUUAAGAGAGAAAAGGAGGCUAUAAAAGAGUAUGUAUAAUGUAGUCUCUUUUAUAAAUAUAUGAAAUAUAUAUGAAUAGAAUUAAUUUUAGAAUAGGUAAAAUAUUAAAAGUAGUUUUUAUGGAUGAUAGAGUUAUACUCGAUCUUCAAAAAAGAAAGUACUUUUUUCCCAUAAUAUUUGAAUGCUUUUUUACAAUGAGAAUAUUAUAUAUUAACAGUGAGGAAUAAUAGCAAUAAAAUAUUUUCUUUUUGAAAAGAAAAAUAUGAAAAAUAGCAGUAUCUUCUAAUACAAAUAUGUGAAAUAGUCUAUGGGACUCAAAAUAGGUCAUAUCUCUUGUUUCUUCCUUGUCCAGAUUCUCAUAAAUUAUUCAUAGAAAUCCUAUCUAUACUAAUGAUUAUUUUUGUUCAUUACUCCUUUGCAUUUCUUUUCAGAAAAUGACAGGUAUUUUAUUCUGCAGUCAUUUAUAUUUUAGAGGAUUCUUCAUAAUUGCUAUUUUCUUAAGCCAUGUUUACAUGACUCAAAAAAGAAUUAUAUUGAGUAAAAUUAGAAUAUUUCCACCUAACCCAAUAAUUUUAGCUGAACUUGAAUUGACCAAUUACUUUAGGAUUGUUUUUAAGGUUAAAAUCAAGAAAAUUAAAAAAUCUACCAUUUCUUUCAAUUAUUUAAAGAAAAAACAAUUAGAAUUUAUAUUUCUGUGUAUCAAUCAAUUGAUAUAGAAUCCUAAUUUACAUAUAUUUAUAGAUACAUAAAAUCUAAAGAUAAAUUAAUAAACUUCAGGAUUUGUAUAGUAUCUCUCUGAAGAAAAUUAUAAAACUUCUACUUAGGAACAUAAAAUUUUUUGAGGAGUGUUCUUAUUUGAAAAAAUGACACUAUUAUAAGGAUGUCCCAAUUCAUUUAUAAAUUUAAUAUAAUUCUGUUUAAAAUUCCAGGUAAAUUUUAAAAUCCAAAUGGCUUAAAAAGACUCCUUUACAGUAAAAAGCAGGAGUUCCUCUUCCCCACAGUGUCCAUUCACAUUCCCCAAAAUUAAUCAUUAACAAUUUUUCGUCUUUUCUUCCAGAGGCAUGUGGAAGUUUCUGGGCCAGGGAUAGAACCCAAGCCACAACAGUGAUCCCAGCCAUUGGAGUGACAGCAAGAGAAAUCCUAUUCUUCCAGACAUUUUGUGUGUAUCUAUAAGUCAUGUAGUCACAUACACAUAGGCAGGCACAUAUAAUUCUAUACUCUUUCUGACUUUUUUCAUGCUAGGAGGGAUAAUAUUAUAAUAUUAUUCUAUAACUUGCUUUCUUAAUAUAUCCUGGGCAUUUUUCCAUAGCAAAACAAUGUUCUCAAGUAAAUUUUUUAACUUAAUAAAGUAAUUCUGAAAAAUAUAAGAAAUAAAUAGGCAAUAAUGACAAAGAAAACUUUC